UACGAGGGGGGCGAGCGUUGUUCGGAAUUAUUGGGCGUAAAGGGUGCGUAGGCGGUUCCGCAAGUCCUGUGUGAAAUCUUCGGGCUCAACUCGAAGUCUGCACGGGAAACUGCGGGGCUUGAGUGUGGGAGAGGUGAGUGGAAUUCCCGGUGUAGCGGUGAAAUGCGUAGAUAUCAGGAGGAACACCGGUGGCGAAGGCGGUUCUCUGGGCAUGUUCUGACGCUGAGGAGCGAAAGUGUGGGGAGCGAACAGG
rnacentral:rRNA from 1 species